UACGUAGGUGGCAAGCGUUACUCGGAAUCACUAGGCGUAAAGCGCAGGUAGGAGGUUUAGUAAGUCUGUUGUGAAAGCUCCCGGCUUAACUGGGAGAGGUCAACGGAAACUACUAGGCUAGAGUGUGGUAGAGGAAGAUGGAAUUCCCGGUGUAGCGGUGAAAUGCGUAGAUAUCGGGAGGAAUACCUAUGGCGAAAGCAGUCUUCUGGACCAUCACUGACUCUGAUCUGCGAAAGCUAGGGGAGCAAACAGG
rnacentral:rRNA from 1 species